rnacentral:misc_RNA from 1 species
UGCAUACCGACCACCAUCUUGUAAUGCCGACGGGGAACAACACUUUUCGUCCUGGGACCGUAUUAUUGACUUAUUUACUGAAUAGUUUCUUGACUUUUGUGUUGUGUUCGUGAAUCUUUAACUAUUAUUAAUUAAUUUUUCAUCACAUUUAUUCGUUUUAUAUUAGUUACUUUAAGUAAACUACACGUUAAUUUGUAUUACUGUUUUUGCUUUUGUUCGUGUUACGAAUUACUUCAUCAGCCAUGGGAUCAGACGAACCAGAACAGUACAGAAAGUUAUUCAUUGGUGGUUUGAACUAUACCACAACUAAUGACUCCCUUAAAGAUUUUUUCGAGCAGUGGGGUGAAAUAGUGGAUGUUGUUGUCAUGAAAGACCCUCAAACUAAAAGAUCUCGAGGAUUUGGAUUUAUUACUUAUUCACAGUCGUCAAUGGUGGACCAAGCCAUGUCAAAUAGACCUCAUAAAAUUGAUGGUCGUGAAGUGGAAACCAAACGUGCUGUUCCACGUGAUGAUAUUGAUAAACCUGAUAUUGCUGCUACUGUCAAAAAAAUGUUUGUAUCUGGUAUUAAAGAACAAUCAGAAUCUGAUCUUCUUGAUUAUUUUGGCAAGUUUGGAAAUAUCACUAAUGUUACUAUAGUAACUGAUAAAGAUUCUGGCCAAAAAAAAGGCUUUGGUUUCAUUGAAUAUGAUGAUACAGAUUCUGUUGACAAAGCUGUUUUGAUUAAAAGUCAUCAAGUUGCUGGAGGAAAAUUAGAUGUGAAGAAAGCUAUUAGCCGUAGUGAUGGUGGUGGCGGUGGCCGUGGAGGACGAGGUGGUCGUGGUGGUGGAGGAAGUGGCAACAGGAAUAACUGGGGUGCCAAUCCUAGAAACGAUCAGUGGGGUGGUGGACACCAUAAUAGAUCAAAUGGCGGUGGUGGUUAUGGAAAUUCUGGAAUGGGUGGAGGUUAUGGAUCUGGUGGAGGAGGGUAUGGUGGCAACGCAGGUGGAUACAAUUCUAACUCUGGUGGAGCAUGGCAAGGAGGUGGUGCUCCUCAAAGUUGGGGCAACAAUAAUCCAGCCUGGGGCAAUCAAGGAGGUGGCGGUGGAGAUGGUUGGGGAAAUUCACAACAACCAAGUAACAAUUGGGGAGGUCCUAAUCAAAGUUAUGGUGGUGGCGGUGGCCCAAUGAGGUCAAACUAUACCUCUAACAACCGUUCUACACCUUAUGGAAACCCAGGUAGAGCUGGUAAUGUUAAUACUGGUAAUGCUGGUGGCUAUGGUCAAAAUCCUGGUCGGCGAUAUUAAAAACUUUCUCACCUUAAAGGUUGAUCAACAAUUGAAUAUCAUGAAAAAUCAGUGUGAAGUGCAUUCAUCGUGUAUGCUCCUUUUAUAUGUAUGAUGAAUACAUGAGAACAAUAGUGAAAAAGAAAAAGACUACUUUGAAUCACGAUCAUUUUCAUAUUAAGGUGACAACCUAACCUAAGCGUCACAUCACAGAAGAACUCGAGGCCUCAAGCUCUUUAAAUUUGAGAAGCUUGAAAUAAUACUGAACAGUGAAUUUACCAGUUAUGGUUGCAAACCUAAUGUGAACAUUCAUGAAGAUAGAAGAAACCAUGAAUGGUAUAUUAAAAAUGCAUUGAUGACAUUUUGUUUUGUUUUUAUUUAAAUAAAAAAAAAAAAAACAAUU